rnacentral:rRNA from 1 species
UACGGAGGAUGCGAGCGUUAUCCGGAUUUAUUGGGUUUAAAGGGUGCGUAGGCGGAUUUUUAAGUCAGCGGUAAAAUGUCCGGGCUCAACCCGGGCCGGCCGUUGAAACUGGGGAUCUUGAGUGCGCGGAAGGCAGGCGGAAUUCGUGGUGUAGCGGUGAAAUGCUUAGAUAUCACGAAGAACCCCGAUUGCGAAGGCAGCCUGCCGCAGCGUUACUGACGCUGAAGCUCGAAAGCGCGGGUAUCGAACAGG